rnacentral:rRNA from 1 species
GAGUUUGAUCCUGGCUCAGGAUGAACGCUGGCGGCGUGCUUAACACAUGCAAGUCGAACGGAAAUGUCACGCUGAUGCGAUUUCGGUCAAAUCUUGUGGCGUUUUAGUGGCGGACGGGUGAGUAACGCGUGGGUAACCUGCCUCACACUGGGGGAUAACACUUAGAAAUAGGUGCUAAUACCGCAUAAGCGCACGGGACUGCAUGGUCUUGUGUGAAAAACUCCGGUGGUGUGAGAUGGACCCGCGUCUGAUUAGCUGGUUGGCGGGGUAACGGCCCACCAAGGCGACGAUCAGUAGCCGGCCUGAGAGGGUGGACGGCCACAUUGGGACUGAGACACGGCCCAAACUCCUACGGGAGGCAGCAGUGGGGGAUAUUGGACAAUGGGGGGAACCCUGAUCCAGCGACGCCGCGUGAGUGAAGAAGUAUUUCGGUAUGUAAAGCUCUGUCAGCAGGGAAGAAAUCAUGACGGUACCUGACCAAGAAGCCCCGGCUAACUACGUGCCAGCAGCCGCGGUAAUACGUAGGGGGCAAGCGUUAUCCGGAAUUACUGGGUGUAAAGGGAGCGCAGACGGUUAAGUAAGUCUGGAGUGAAAGGCUGGGGCCCAACCCCGGGACUGCUCUGGAAACUAUUUAAC